GAUGAACGCUGGCGGCGUGCCUAAUACAUGCAAGUCGAGCGAACAGACGAGGAGCUUGCUCCUCUGACGUUAGCGGCGGACGGGUGAGUGACACGUGGAUAACCUACCUAUAAGACUGGGAUAACUUCGGGAAACCGGAGCUAAUACCGGAUAAUAUAUUGAACCGCAUGGUUCAAUAGUGAAAGACGGUUUUGCUGUCACUUAUAGAUGGAUCCGCGCCGCAUUAGCUAGUUGGUAAGGUAACGGCUUACCAAGGCAACGAUGCGUAGCCGACCUGAGAGGGUGAUCGGCCACACUGGAACUGAGACACGGUCCAGACUCCUACGGGAGGCAGCAGUAGGGAAUCUUCCGCAAAGGGCGAAAGCUUGACGGAGCAACGCCGCGUGAGUGAUGAAGGUCUUCGGAUCGUAAAACUCUGUUAUUAGGGAAGAACAAAUGUGUAAGUAACUAUGCACGUCUUGACGGUACCUAAUCAGAAAGCCACGGCUAACUACGUG
rnacentral:rRNA from 1 species